rnacentral:rRNA from 1 species
UCGGAUUGCAGUCUGAAACUCGAGUGCAUGAAGCUGGAAUCGCUAGUAAUCGCAAAUCAGAAUGUUGCGGUGAAUACGUUCCCGGGUCUUGUACACACCGCCCGUCACACCAUGGGAGUUGGAAAUGCCCGAAGUCAGUGACCCAACCUAAGGGAGGGAGCUGCCGAAGGCAGGUUCGAUGACUGGGGUGAAGUCGUAACAAGGUACC